CUUUGGGACGCCGAGGUGGGUGCCGAGGUCAGGAGUUCAGGAUCACCCGGGCCAACAUGGUGAAACCUCAUCUCUACUAAAAAUACAAAAAAUUAGCUGAGUGUGGUUGUGCAUGCCUGUAAUCCCAGCUACUUGGAGGCUGAGGCAGGAGAAUCACUUGAACCUGGGAGGCAGAGGUUGCAGCCAGCUGAGAUCUCGCCACUGCACAUCAGCAUGGGUGACGAGCAAAACUCUGUCUCAAAGGAAAAAAAAAUGUAAUCCUUAUGCUUGCAAUGCCUAUCAAUAGAUGUACUUUUUAAAAAGUUUUUAUGGGUGUAUCAAUAUGCUAUCAGUUGCUAAAUGUAGUGUACCAAAUGCUUUAUUGCAUUUUAUGACAUGUUGAUUCAAAAAUUAAUGGAAAGUUGGAUGCUAAUAGCUUACUUUUAAUAUUCUUAAUACUUUCCCUAGUUUAUUGUUUAUCCUCCAACUUUGUUUUGAUGGACUCUUGGUUUUUUUAGCAUGUAGAGAUGAAAAAUUUUUAAUUUAGUUUUGAUUAUACAAAAAAUUAAUGCAGAUAAUAGAGAUAAAACUGAAAUUCCCUUUGAUAUUUCCUAUCUAGGUCCUCUCUGCCUGGGAUAAGCACUGUUUGAUACAUGCUAUUAUUUUUCAUGUUAAUUAUCAUUCUCUUCUGCCAUUUGACUGUGUCCAGAAGUUCAUUCAUUUUAAUGAAUCUUGUUUCGCAGUAAUCAGAGAGCCAAUUCACAUGAUGGUGAAUUGUUAUGUAUCUGCUUAAUCCUGGUAAGAGAGCAGAGACAAUGGAAUUGUACAAGAUGCUGGAUUAAAUUUAGAGAAGGCGGAAAAGUGGAAGACAAAAAGAACAAAAGAAAAGCAAUUAAUAGAAAACAUUAACAAAUAUAGUAAUUUAUAUCAAUUAGUUUAAAUAUGAGUUGCCUGAAUACACAGAUACUGUCACAGUGGAUUAAAAGGCAAGACUAACAAGAAAACCACUUUAAAGAUGGAGAAAGAUUAAAACUAAAGAGAUGGAGAAAGAUAUAUCAUGUGUUAUAGACUGAAUGUUUGUGUUCCCCCUUGCUCCCCAAAUUUAUAUGUUGAAACCCUAACUCCUAGUGUGAUAGUAUUUGGAGAUAGGGAUCUUGGAAGAUAAUUAAGGUUAGACGGCACCAUGACUAACAUAAGGUUAGUACCCUUCUAAGAAGGGACAUAGAAAGCUUGCUGUCUUUGCCAUGUGAGAAUACUACUAGGAGGUAGCUGUCUGCAAAUGAGAAAGAGAGCCUUCCCCAGAAAUUGACUAUGCUGACACCCUGAUCACAGACUUUCAGUCUUAAGAAAUUUGAGUAAAUGAAAAUUUCUGUUGUUUAAGAUACCCAGUAUAUGGUAUUUUGUUAUGGUAGCCUAGAUAAACUGUCAUAUCAAACUACAUUGAUCAAAAGAAAGCUGGAGUAGCUAUAUUAAUUUCAUACAAAGCUGACUUCAGAACAAGGAAAAUGAUCAAGGAUUAUGAGAGGCAUCAUAUGGUGAUAAAGGGGUAACUAACAUUUAAAAAAAAAGAUACCAUAGAAAGUAUGUCUUUACAAGGGAAUUAAACUAGAAAUAAAUAAUGAAAAUACCUGGAAAAUCCCAAAAUAUUCGGAGAUUAAGGAACACGCUUCUAAACACAUGGGUCAAAGAAGUGUCAAGAGAAAAUACAUUUUGAACUAAAUAAAUGAAAAUACAAGUUAUCAAAAUUUGUGAGAUGUAGCAAAAGCAGUGGCUAGAGGGAAAUUUAUAGUAUUGAAUGCAUAUAUUGGAAAACGUGAAGGAUCUAAAAUCAAUAUGCAACUACCUUAAGAAAUUAGAAAAAGAAGAGCAAAUUAAAUCCAAAGUAAGCAGAAGAAAUAAUAGAGUAGAAAUCAAUAAAAUUCAACCAAAAACAAUAAAUUCAACAAAGCGAAUGAAAUUCAAUGAAAAGUUAAAAUUUAUAAAACUUUUUGUCAGGGCUGGGUGCGGUGGCUCACACCUAUAAUCCCAGCACUUUGGGAGGCCGAGGUGGGUGGAUCACGAGGUCAAGAGAUCAAGACCAUCCUGGUCAACAAGGUGAAAGCCCGUCUCUACUAAAAAUACAAAAAUUAGCUGGGCGUGGUGGCGCGUGCGCCUGUAGUCCCAGCCACUGGGGAGGCUGAGGCAGGAGAAUUGCUUGAACCCAGGAGGCGGAGGUUGCGGUGAGCCGAGAUCGUGCCAUUGCACUCCAGCCUGGGUAACGAGCAAAACUCCGUCUUGGGGGAAAAAAAAAAAAAACCUUUUUGUCAUACCAAAGGAGAAAGCAAAAAUUACUGAAAUCAGAAAGGAAAAGAGGUGCCUUUAUUACUGUUCUCAUGAACAUUAGGACAUUAGAAGGAUAAUAAAGGGAUGUUAUGAGCAACUCUGAGUGUGCAAAUUUGAUAACAUGAAUCGACCAAUUCUGUGAAACCUCACACAAGGAGAAAUAACUGCUUCGCAUAAACUUACAAAAUAAAUUCAAUCAAUUAUGUGCUUGCAAAACAAAGCACUGGUCUCAGAUGGUUUCACUAGUGAAUUCUACCAUUCAAGGAUAAAGUGAUGCCAACUUUGUACAAUCUGUUCUAGAAAACAGAAGCAGAGGAAAUGCUUUAACACAUUUUGUGAGGCCACAUAACCCUGAUAACAAAAUUAGGUAAAGAUAUUACAAGAAAGGGCAACCACAGACCAGUAUCUCUCAUGAACAAAGCUAUAAAACUUCUCAACAGAAUAUUAGCAAAUCUAAUACAACAAUAUAUAACAAAAAAUAUAUGUACCACAGUCAAGUGGUAUUUAUUUCAGGUAUGCAAGGCUGGUUCAAUGUUGAAAUCAGUUCAUAUAAUUUAUUACAUUAUCACACUACAGGAGAAAAGUCAUAUGACUGUUUCAAUAGAUACAGAUAAGCCAUUUGACAAAACCAAUACCUAUUUAUGAUGAAGACAGACAAAAUUAUCCACCAGCUAGGAAUAUAAGGAAAUCCUCAAUUUCAUAAAUAAUAUCUACAAAAAAAACCUACAGCUAACAUACUUAAUGGCAGGACAUCAGAUGCUUUCCCUCUAAGAACAGAAACAAGGCAAGUAGAUUGCAUCAUUCCUAUUUAAUGUUGUGCUGGAAGUUCUUGCUAAUGCAAUAAGAAAAUUCCUGUCUCUCAGUGAAAAAUAAUUUGGAACUAAAAUCUGAAUAUAGCAAGUUUACAGAGAAUGUAUGAUUCAUACACAUUCAAUUGCUUUCUUAUAUAUAGCAGGUACAGACAUUUGGAAUUAGAAAUUUCAAACAUUUACAUUAGCAUCAAAAGAGAGUAGAGAGAGAAGAAAGAAAGAAGGAAACCAAAAAAAGCCUUUGUGCAAGAUCUAUAUAAGGAAAACUACAAAAGUCUCAUGAAGGAAAUUGAAGAUAGAAAUAAAUAGAAGGAUAUUCCAUGUUCAUGGAUAGGAAGACUAAAAAUCGUUAAGGUGUUAUGUCUUCCUAACUUUAUCAAUAGAUUCAAUGAAAUCUCAGUAACAAUCCCAGCAAGGUUCUUGUGUAUAUUGACAGAAUUUUAAAGUUAAUGAGGGAAAGACCCAGAAUAGCUGCCAAGAUUUUUAAGAAAAACAAAGUUGGAGGACUGACACUGACUUUGGUGAUGACUUUUUAGCUACAACACCAAAAGCAUGAUUCAUGGAAGAAAACAGUAAGUUGGACUUUAUUAAAAUUAAAAAACUGCUCUGUUUCAUUUUUCAUUUCACUGUUAAAAUGAAAGGAUAUGCCACAACCUGGGAUAAAAACUUUGCAAAAUAUAUCUGAUAAAGGAUUUGUAUCCACAAUAUACAAUGAACUCUUAAAACUACAAUAAGAAAAACCAAUAAAAAAGUAGGUAAAAUAUCUGAGCUGGCACCUCACAAAAGAAGAUAUAGCAAAUAAGCAUGAAAAAAUUGUUCAACAUGUAUGUCAUUAGAAAAUUGCAAAUUUAAAUAAUGAGAUACCACUACAUGCCUACCACAAUGGCUAAAAUUAAAAUAUAGUAAUAAAGGCUGAUGAGGAUGUGGAGCAAAAGGAACAUACAGCUACUUUGUGCUACAGUUUGACAGUUUUUUUUACAAAGCUAAAUAUAGACUUACUGUAAGCAUACCUUGAUACUGUGGGUUUGAUUCAAGACAAUAAGCCACUUUUUUUUGCUCAUCCACGGCAAGUAACUUCUCAUCUGUUCAAGCUGUAUCAUGAGAUUGUAGCGAUUGAGUCACAUCUUCAGCCUCCUCUCCUAAUUCUAGUUCUCGUGAUAUUUCUACCACAUUUGUAGUUACUUGAACCUCUCAGAGUCAUUUAUGAGGUUUAGAAUCAACCUCUUGCACACUCUUGUUAUGUUGAUAUUUUGACCUCCUCCCAUGAAUCACACAUGUUCUUAAUGGCAUCUAGAAUGGCAAAUAAUUUCCAGAAGGUUUUCAAUGAACUUGAAAACCCAGAUCCAUCAGAGCAGCCAUCUCUGAUCUUUUUGGUACCAGGGACCAGUUUGUGGAAGACAGUUUUUCCAUGACUGGAGUUGGGGUUGGGGGGAGUGGUUUCAGGAUGAAACUGUUCUACCUCAGAUUGUUAGGUAUUAGAUUCUCAUAAGGAGCACACAACCUUGAUCCCUUACGUGCAGUUCACUAAAUGGUUUGUGCUCCUAUGAGAAUCUAAUGCUGCUAAUCUGACAGAAGGCAGAGCUCAGGAGGUAAUGCUUGCUCGCUUGCUGCUCACCUUCUGUGGCGUGAUCCAGUUCCUAACAGGCCAGGGACUGGUACCAGAGCAAAGGCAGAGUAGAUUUUAGUAUAAUUCUUAAGGUCUCUAGGAUUGCUGGAAUGGUAACUGAGCAUUGGUUUCAUGGACUGGUACCAGAGCACAGGCAGAGUAGAUUUUAGUAUAAUUCUUAAGGGCUCUAGGAUUGCUGGAAUCAUAACUGAGCAUUGGUUUUAAGGUCAACAUCUGCAUUAGCUCUUAACAAGAGAGUCUUUCUGUUCUCUGAAGCUUUGAAGCCAGGCAUUGACUUCUCUAGCUAUGAGAGUCCUAGAUGGCAUCUUCUUCCAAUUGAAGGCUGUUUUGUCUACACUGAAAUUUUGCUGUUUAGUAUAGCCACGUUCAGUUAUCUUAGCUAGAUCUUCUGGAUAAUUUGUUGCAGCUUCUGCCUCAGCACUUGUUGCUUCCCCGUGCACUUUUAUGUUCUGGAGAUGACUUCUUUCCUUAAACUUCAUGAACCAACCUCUGCCAGCUUCACACUUUUCUUCUGUAGCUUCCUCACCUCUCUCAGCCUUCAUAGAAUUGAAAAGAGCCAAGGCCUUUUGGAUUAGGCUUUGGCUUAAGGGAAUGUUGUGGUUGUGUCUUAGUCAGUUUUCUGCUGCUUAUAACAGAGUAACUAAAACUGGAUAACUUAUAAAAGAGGAAUUUCUUUCUACAGUUAUUGAGCCAGAAAGUCCAAGGUUGAGAAGCUGCAUCUUGUGAGGCCUUGCUGCUGGUGACUCUGAAGAAUCUCACAGUGUUACAGGGCAUCACAUGGUGAAGGGUCUGAGAAGAAGUUCUCUGUUCCUCUUAUUAUAAAGCUACCAAUCUCAUUCCCAUGAUAACCCAAUACUCCAUUAAUUAAUAAAUGGAGUAAGCCGUUUUUCAUUCAUUCGAGCACAGUCCUCAUGACCUAAUCACCUCUUAAAGGCCCUGCAUGUUUAAUAUGGCAGAAAUAUAAAAGAAAAAGUAAAUUUUGAUAAUGUUAUUGAGCAAGUGAAUUAAUUUAUUCUAGAGCUUUCCUACUUGGGAACAUGAUACAUAAGAUAAGCAGUCUCCUCAAGCAACUUCAGCUCCUUGGCUUUGUCCUUAUGCCCCUGGAAUUUCACAUGCUCCACAAACUUGCGAGGGGUUUUGAAGUAGCUGUUGCAAAUGUUACAGAAGGGUCUCAGGGAUUGUUUGGCAAUCUUGUGGUCCUGUGUCCUGCAGUGUUGGAUCAGGUCCCCCAUGUAGUAGAGCUGGCAGGUGUUGCACCAACGCCUUGGUGGAGGCUCCUCAUCCUCUGUAUCCAGGAUGUCCCAGGGCACGGGCAGCAGGGACAGGAGGCAGGCUUGGCUCAUAUGCUGGAUCUCCCCUAGCUACUGGGGGUGCUGAGGCUCGGAUUCAUGUGGCCCUGGAAUUGCUGCUAGCUGGAGCAGCUGGCCUUGCAGUUGUAGCAGAAUAACUGGAGGGCCUGCUUAGAGAAUGUGCUUGUAGCUGCAGGGGUGGAGAAGUCGGAGUCACUGGGGUGGGGCAUGAGUGUCAGGGAUACAGUCCAAAAGGCCCGACUGUCACUGCUCUGCAGAAUAGUGACCUUCAGGGAGCCCCCAGCACCUUACACUCUGUUUUCACAUUCUCUCACAUCUAGGCCACUGGCCAGCUCCUUCUGGUUCUCUUCCAUGCUGACUUGGGUGCCCACAGGCUCUGGCAAGGUCUUUUCCAUGCCUCUACCAGCUCCUACUAUAUCAGGUGGCAUCUCCAGCCCACAGACAUGAACCACAACUGGUACUUGGCUCUGGAGCCAGCACCGACACCUGUGGCUGGGUCUGAGGCUGCUUAUCGGUCUGCACUGGUGGCUGUACUGGCACCUGCACUGGGGGCUGCUCCUGUGACUGGACCCUUGGCUGUGCUUGUGUGUGGACCUGUGGCUAUGUCUGUGUCUGGGCCUGCUUCUGCAGCUGCAGCUGCACCUGCCUUGGGGGCUAUGAAUGUGCCUGGGGCUGCAGCUGUUUCUGUGGCUCUGCCUCUUGCUGCAGCUGUGGCUGCCCUUUCUUCUGUUGUGGGACUAAGUGCUCUGGAGAAGUCUGUGUUUGUACCUGCUUCUACAGCUUUGGCUGCACCUGGGUAUCUGUGGGUGGUAUCCGUGGCUGAGUCUGUGACUGCACCUGGGCCUGGACCUGCAUGACCUGUGGCUGGAAUCGUGGCAGCAUUUGGGCUUCCAAAGGCUCAGACACCAGGUCUGGUGUCCAUGUCUGCUUCGGUACUGUCAUCUGGGCCUGUGGCCCGUGCUGUGCUUGUGGAUCUGGAGCUGGGCACCAUGGACUCUGUGUGCUUGGGGCCCUUCGGGCAGAUCUUCAGGCCAGACAGCUUCAUCUUUGGUCAGUGUGAGGCUGGGAACAACUGGGUCAAGGGGUACUACACAGAAGGUGCAAAGCUGAUGGAGUCAGUGAUGCACAUUGUGAGAAAAGAGGCUGAGAGCUGUGAUUGCCUGAUUGCCUGCAGGGUUUCCAGCUGACCCCCUCCCUGGGUGGGGGGACUGGGUCUGGGAUGGGUACCCUUCUCAUGGGCAAAAUUCAGGAGGAGUACCCAGACAGGAUCAUAAACACAUUCAGCAUCCUGCCCUUACCCAAGGUGUCAGACACCGUGGUGGAGCCCUACAAUGCCACCUUCUCCAUCUACCAGCUCAUAGAAAAUGUAGAUUAGACAUUCUUCAUCGAUAAUGAAGCACUCUAUAACAUCUUAAAACUGACCACACCCACCUUUGGUGACCUGAAUCACCUGGUGUCUGCUACCAUGAGUGGGGUCACCACGUGUCUGCCCUUCCUGGGCCAGCUGAAUGCUAACCUGCGGAACCUGGCCUUGAAAAUGGUUCCAUUUCCCCAGCUACACUUCUUCGUGCUUGGCUUUGCCCUGCUGACCAGCCAGGGCAGCCAGCAGUACUGGGCCCUGACCGUGGCUGAGCUCACCCCGCAGCUGUUUGAUGCUAAGAAUAUGAUGGCUGCCUGUGAUCCCUGUCGUGGCCGCUACCUAACCAUGGCUGCCAUUUUCAGAGGUCGCAUGUCCGUGAGGGAGGUGGAUGAACAAAUGUUUAAUAUUCAGAACAAGAAGAGCAGCUACUUUGCUGAGUGGUUUCCUCACAACGUGAAUACAGCCGUCUGUGACAUCCCACCCUGGGGGCUAAAAAUAGCCACCUUCAUUGGUAACAACAGCCAUCCAAGAGCUCUUCAAACAGUUUACAGCUAUGUUCAGGCAGAAGGCCUUCCUGCACUGGUACACAGGCGAGGGCAUGGAUGAGAUGGAGUUCACUGAGGCCGAGAGCAACCUUAAUGACCUGGUGUCUGAAUACCAGCAAUACCAAGAUGCCACAGCUGAGGAGGAGUUUGAGGAGUGUGCUGAGGAGGAGGUAGCUUAGAAGCUUCCUGUUCUAGGUAAAGGGGGAAGCAGUGUGGAUUCUUUAGUGUGUUCUGAUAGCUAUUGUCGCUAUGCACUUCUUUGAGACUUUACAUCUCCUCCUGCAUUUUAAAGCAUUUUUAUAGGUGUAGUUUGGCCUAAUAAAACAUUUUUAUGGCAAAAAAAAUUUUUUUAAUGACUUUAUUUAUUGGAGACAGAGUCUCUCUGUGUCGCCUAGGCUGGAGUGCAAUGGCAUGAUCUUAGCUCACUGCAAUCUCCUCUUCCUGGAUUCAAGUGAUUCUCAGCGUCAGCCUCCUGAGCAGCUGUCAUUACAGGCACCCACCAACAUGCCUGGCUAAUUUUUUGUAUUUUUAGUGGAGAUAGUGUUUCAUCUUGUUGGCCAGGCUGGUCUUGAAAUCCUGACCUCAAGUCAUCUGCCUGCCUUGGCCUCCCAAAGUGCUGGGAGUACAGGCAUGAAUCACUAUACCCUGCCAAUGUCUGAGUUUUUAGUAGGGAUGGGGUUUUGCCAUGUUGUCCAGGCUGGUCUCGAACUCCUGGGCUCAAGCAAUCCACCAACCUCCACAUCCCAAAGUGUGGGGAUUGCAGGAAUGAGCCUCUGCACCUGGCCUUUUUUUUUUUUUUUUUUUUUUGAGAUAAGGUCUCACUGUUACAAAAGCUGGAGUUGAGUGGCUUUGAACUCCUGGGCUUACACCAUCUUCCUAUCUGUCUCAUAAAUAGCUAGGAUUACAGGUGCCUGUCACCAUGCUAUUUUUUUUUUUUUUUUUUUUUUGAAGUAGGAUCUUGCUGUGUUGCCUGGGCUAGUCUUGAGCUCUUGAUCUCAAGACAUUCUUUCACCUGGGCCUCCCAAAGCAGUGGUUCAAGCGAUUCUUUUGCCUCAGCCUCCUGAAUAGCUGGGACUACAGGCACACACCACCACGCCUGGCUAAUUUUUGUAUUUUUAGUAGAGAUGGGGUUUCACCAUAUUGGCCAGGCUGGUCUUGAACUCCUGACCUCAGGUAAUCCACAUGUCUUGGCCUCCAAAAGUGCUGAGAUUACAGGUGUGAGCCAUCACGUCUGGCCACUGUUUUUAUUUUUAUAGUAAAAAUAUAUUAUACUUUGAAACAAGUAUAGUGUAUAUAAGUAUAUAUAAGUACUUUGAAAAAAAACAGGAAAGUAUAAAGAUGAAAACUAAAAAUCCCACCACAUAGAGAUAACCACUUAUAAUCUUUCUUGUAUUACUUAACCUCACUCUAUGACAUGUGCUAGAAAAUAUGAAAUUAUGAUCCUAGUUUUAUGAAGUAAAUUGUUUAUGUGUUCUAUAUUUGCUUAUAAUGUUCUUUAUGAUUAUAUACUAUAUAAUGAGCUCUGCUUGUUUUACUUUUGGUUGUAUUUUUUUCAUAACUAGGUAAUAUUAGAAAAAACACUAUUUAGGCUACUGGACUGUUAAGAAAGUAGGAGUACCAUUAUUUAUUUAACAAUUUAUUAUGGGCUGUUGAGGUUGUUUCUAGUCUUUCACGCUUAGAAAUAGCACUGUGAUUAAUGUAUUUAUAUAAAUUUCUAGAAAUAGAGACACUAGGUCAAAGAGUGUAAGUGCUUUGUUUUGAGUUGUUUGAGACAGUGUCUCUGUGGCCAGGCUGGAGUGCAGUGGUGCAGUCAUAGCUCACUGUAGCCUCACCCUCUAUGGCUCAAGAGAUCCUCCUAUUUUAACCUCCUAAGUAGCUGGGACUAUAGGUGUGUCCCACCGUGCCUAGUUAAUUUUAUGUAUUUUUGUUGUAGAGAUGGAGUUUUGCUAUGUUGCCCAGACUGGUCUAAAACUCCUGGACUCAAGCAAUCCACCUAUCUUGGCCUCCCAGAGUGCUAGAAUUACAGACGUGAGCCACCUUGCCCAGCCUUUAAGGCUCUUGAUUCAAUUUAUACUCCCACCAGCAAUGUAUGAGAUUGCCCAUAUUAUGGAACUCUUGCCAACAAUGAGUAUUUUUAAAAACAUUUUGUCUAUUUGAUAAAAAAAAUCUUGUUUUAAUUUAUAUUUCUUGGAUUAUAAGUGAGAUAACUUUUUUUUUCAUAGUU